rnacentral:rRNA from 1 species
UUUGAUCUGAAAUCAGCGGGAUUACCCGGUGAACUUAAGC